rnacentral:lncRNA from 1 species
GAUCAUAACCUAAGUUCAGAUAUCAUUAGAAUUACAAUUCUGAAUAAUUAUAACCUUAAACUCAAAUACCACUUAAAUCAUAUUUUCUAGUGAUCAUAACCUAAACUCUAAUAUCAUUCUAUCAUACCUUUAAUGAUCCAAAUCUUAAACUCUGAUAUUAUCAAUCAUACUCUAGUGAUUAUAAUCCCAAGUUUUGAUAUCACUUAUAUGACAAUCCCUAGUGACCUUAAACUUGGCUCUAGUACUAUUCUGUCAUAUCCUAAUCACUUAUAUCAUUGUCUCCAAAUGAACGUAACCUAGGCUCUAAGCUCAGAUGCCACUCUGUCACAUCCUACUGAUCUUACAUAAAGUUUUAAUAUCUCUUCAUAAUCUCUAGUGAUCUCAAACCUAAGCUCUGAUAUUAUUCUAUCACAUCCAAAUCAUUUAUAUUGUAAUCUCCAAUGAUCAUAAUCUAAGCUCUGAUAUCACUCUAUAAUAUUCUAAUCACUCAUAUCAUAAUCCCUAAUGAUCAUAUCCUAUGCUCUGAUACCAUUCUGUCACGCCCCGAACCCAACACCCGGGUCGGAUACGUGAUGGCCGCACACUCCUUAGAGCAAGCCCUAAAAAAUAUGCAAGGCCA